rnacentral:rRNA from 1 species
GACGAACGCUGGCGGCGUGCUUAACACAUGCAAGUCGAACGAUGAACCCGGAGCUUGCUCCGGUGGAUUAGUGGCGAACGGGUGAGUAACACGUGAGUAACCUGCCCUUGACUCUGGGAUAACUGCGGGAAACUGUAGCUAAUACCGGAUACGACCCUCGGCGGCAUCGCCAGGGGGUGGAAAGAAUUUCGGUCAAGGAUGGACUCGCGGCCUAUCAGCUAGUUGGUGAGGUAACGGCUCACCAAGGCGACGACGGGUAGCCGGCCUGAGAGGGAGACCGGGCACACGGGGGCUAACACACGGCCCAGACUCCUACGGGAGGCAGCAGUGGGUAAUAUUGCACAGUGGGCGCAAGCCUGAGGCAGCAACGCCGCGUGAGGGAUGACGGCCUUCGGGUUGUAAACCUCUUUUAGUAGGGAAGAAGCGAAAGUAACGGUACCUGCAGAAAAAGCACCGGCUAACUACGUGCCAGCAGCCGCCGUAA